UACGUAGGGUGCAAGCGUUGUCCGGAUUUAUUGGGCGUAAAGAGCUCGUAGGCGGCUUGUUGCGUCGGCUGUGAAAUCCCGUGGCUUAACUGCGGGCUUGCAGCUGAUACGGGCGGGCUGGAGUUCGGUAGGGGAGACUGGAAUUCCUGGUGUAGCGGUGAAAUGCGCAGAUAUCAGGAGGAACACCGGUGGCGAAGGCGGGUCUCUGGGCCGAUACUGACGCUGAGGAGCGAAAGCGUGGGGAGCGAACAGG
rnacentral:rRNA from 1 species